GGGAUCCGAGCCGCGUCUGCAACCUACACCACAGCUCAUGGCAACGCCGGAUUGUUAACCCACUGAGCAAGGGCAGGGACCGAACCCGCAACCUCAUGGUUCCUAGUUGGAUUCGUUAACCACUGCACCACGACGGGAACUCCUAGAAUUGAUUUAUAAUGUUGUGUUGAUUUCUGCUGCACAAAAUGAUUUAGUUAUACAUAUAUACACAUAUAUAUAUAAUUUUAUGUAUUAUUUUCCACUACGGUUUAUCACAGGACAUUGAAUGCAGUUCCCUUGCUAUUCAUAAGAAUUAUUUUAAAAUAUUGAAGACAUAUUUAAACAUGUAAUUUAAAAAAUUAAAUUUUAUUUAGUUAUGGUCAAUUCCUAGAAGAAAGAUUACUUGGUUAAAUUUUAAAACUUCUUAAAGUUGUCUGGCAUAAAAUGCUGAAGUGUUCUCCAAAGAUUGCAUUCAGCACAGGAUACCACAAGUAAUAUACAGCAGUUCCACUUACCACUGACCUCCCUAAUUUUAGACAUGUGAUGAUGGAUCUGAAAGUAAAAAAGUCGGCUCCAUUCUCUUCUUAUCACCAUUUCUACUGUCUUAACCUCUUUACAGUCUUAGUUCCAGAGCCUGAAAUUCUCAAAAUGCUGCCUUCAUUCAAAGGAAUAGUGGAUGGAACAGAAAUAUGUUCAGUCUCAUUGUAAAAGCUCAGGCAGGCUAGGAAGAGAAUCUUAUCAACCUCAUGCCUGAGCACUGUGGGAGACCUCAUUUCUCUAAAUUUUAGUAUAUAACACUCAUCUCUGGAUUUAAAAAUGUUAUCAUUAUGCAAAAACAAAACAAUAACACCAAAAAAAAAAAAACACCCAGCCCCCUGUCCACUCCCUUGUGUAUUUAUCAUCCUGCCCCUUUCCUUUACAUUCAGAAAAGUGACAAAAUUGAAAGUAUGUGGCAAAACAGGUAAAGCCACAUUAUUUAUAAAUGGAACACAAGGGCAUAUCUUUCUAACUCAGUACCACUUCUCUGUGGUUCAGGAGGUAAAGUGAUUUCUGACCAUGGAUGUGCUGUGCUGUGUACAGUGUGUGUUGUGUUUUUGUGUAUGGUUCACAGGGUGUGUGUGCUGUGGUGUUUGCUGUAUAAGGUGCAGGGUGUGUGUGUGUGUGCAUGCGUGUGUGCAUGUGUGUGUUGGGUAUAUUUUGUGGGGUGUGUGUCCUUGCCUGUGUGCUAUGUGUAAUGUCUAAUGAUAUGAAUAAGUUUGAAAAAUGCUUUAUUUUCAGCAGAGGCCAACGUGAAAAAUGGUAAAAGGUAGGGUUAGUAUAUCUGAGACCUUCAUGUUCUUGGCCAAGAGAUGACUUCCUCUUUGAAAUAUCUUCCUCUCUCUUCUAGAAAAUGUUCUUCUCACUAAUGAAGACAAUUCUCUAGAUAUGUUUUUGUAAGUUAAGAAUUUCUGUUUCCAAAAAGCAAUCUAUAAUGGGUUUCACAAAAAUGCUGGGAAGCUUUUGGAGUUUUCUUCUGUGUCUGUGUGUAUGUGUGCGUGUGCAUGUUUGUAUUUCUUAGGCUGAUUGGAGAUGCCCCCAAACAAAACAAGGCAGAUUCUGAGACUGUCCAUUUGAAUGUCAUGACUACAGAAUAGUCAUAAAACCAGAGUUGACAAGUGAAGGUUGAAACUGUUAAGUUUCCCUCUUUUGGAAAUCAAUGGGAUUUCACGGCCAAUUUAUUUGAUGGUUAUAUUAUAGCCAGGAAAAUAGUAUGGCAAAAACCAACCAGAGAACAUCAAAAGAUCACUUCUCUUUGUUUCUUUCUGAAAGAAUGUCAUAUAUGUUCCUAUGUAGUCAUCUACUAACGCUCCGACAUAGUGUAAAAGAAAUCCUAAAACUAAAAAUGUUUUAAAUGCGUAACAGUAAAUGAUUACUCACUUGAUGCCAGCCUUCACACCUGUACUAUUUAUACCUGUGUCCUUUUUGUAAUGACUAGUCCUUUCUUAGCUUCAUUUAUGCCAGGGGAUACUUUGCACACAUCAGAUAAUUCAAUUCUUUUCCAAGCAGGUGUGGGGUUUCUGAGAGGUUAAGUUCAGUUCUUAGUGUCUGUCUAAAAUUCUGGUUAGGUGCAAGGCCUAUGUUAAUUCACCAAAACACUAAUUAUUUAUCUUCUUGAGAUACAAUAAGUGCAUUAUAUUUAUUUAGCAUGUUAUGUUAUGUGGUCAAGUGAGACAGGAAAUCCCUUAGAAUAGCUUAAUGUUAUUUGUUUUAUGGUUGCUUAGAAAAGGCUCUCCAGUGGCUUGGAAAUAUAAAAAGGAAGUAAAUCUGGGGCUUGUAUGAUGAUGUGAAAAUAUCAACAGCUAUAAAUAAUAGGGAAAACAAUCAUUUUAAUACUGCAUAUAAUAUCUAAAUUCAAUCUUACAGAUGAGAAAAAAAUUAACAUAUUCACUAUAACAUUGUUAUCAAAUUUUGAAGCUAAAAUGUAAAUCUUACGUCCACACACAAACAAAUCAUGAGUCACAUGUUCAAAUUGACAAGCCAAAUUCUUAGUUUCUAAGAAAUUCCCCAAUAAUAUUCCCAUUUUAGCACAGCCCUUUUGUGACAGAGCUUAUUACCAAAAUAAAAAUGUUUGGAAUGCAUCAUUUUGCAUAAUUUUUUAAGUUGUUACUUUAGAAAUUGUAGCAUAUGCAAUAUAUCUAGUGUGACUUGUCCCAGUCUAUUGACAUUGUGAAAUCAAACUCCCAUUACUAUGGCAAGACAGGAAAAAUUAAAAUAAUUUUUUUCUCUGCACUUCGACCUCCUGUUUCCCCCCCGCCCCGUGCGCUGUGUACCUGAAUUGUACAUCAACGAAACCUGCCCCCUUAGCAGAAACCCCUGCUCAAUCAUAAAGAGCAGCAUUCUGACAACAUCAACAAGACAACUCCUUAACUAUAAUACUACGUCUUGAUCUUGCAAGUAGUCACUUGGCACUUCAAUCUAGAUUAUAUAGCGUCAAUAAUAUUUAAUAUAUAGCCUCUGUCUUCAAAAAACUUAUAUAACUGUGCCCUGACUUCUAACAGGUGGAAUAGUUCUCAGAGCUUUCUGAGAUGUUCUUCCCAGGUUGUAAUACCCAAAUUGAAGUCAAAUAUAAUUUUCCAUUUUGUUCUUAGAUCAACAGAUUAAUUUUUCACCAACAAAAUCAAGGUUUUACUACUCUAAAUGGUGUAAAAACCUUAUUCCCAUAGAGAUCACUUCGCUCCCCUGCCAUUUUAAAUAUAAUUGUCUUAAGUACCUCUUCCGUGUACAUGGUGUCACAUUAGAGGGACUUAAAUUUGCUUCAACCAUAAAUAUGAUUUUAGCAGGAGACUAUGGCAGUAUUAAAUUUACUGAUGUUUUUCACCCAUUCUGAUGUGCUCCUUUCUUUCUGAAGCAUCCAUCUUUCUGUUACAACUUUCUUCCGGUUUAAGGAACUUCUGGGAGCCAUUGUGUAAAGAGAGUUUUGCUCAGGACAGAUCCUUAGUUACUCCUGUCAGAGAAGUUCCUCAUUCCCCUUCCCUUCUUGAACAUAUUUUGGCAUAACCUAGACUGUGCUGUUGACAAUUCUUUCCCUUCAGUUGCAUAAGAAUAUAGCACCACUUCCCUCUGGGCUCUGUGGUUUCAUAUGAGAAACCUCUGUCUCAGGAAUGGCUGUUACCCUACAACUGAUGCACUGGCUGCUUCCAAAACUGUUUGUCUUCAAUUUUCAGAUGACUUUUGUUUUUUGGUUUAUCCUAUUUGGGGUACCCUCCAUAUUUUUAGAAUCUGUAGGCUUAUGUUUCCACCAAACUGGGGGAUUUUUUUAGUCAUUUAUUUGAAUAUUUUCCAAUGUCUCUCUCUCUGUCUAUCCUAUGUCUUCUGCUGACAACUUUGUUGACAGUACGAAUGUUAGCUCUUUGUUAUUGUUCCCUGGGCCCCUGGAACUCUUGUUGAUGUUAAAUUGUCAGAAGUCUGUGAUUCUGAAAAACAGUGGAAAGUUAAGAAAUCCCCUGAACCUUUUGUGUUUGGAAAUAGCUUAGAGAAAAGAACUGCCCCUCCCCAUUUGAUCCAGAUAAGACUCCUUUCUGUUUGCCUGAAACUAGGGUAGAUCCAGACAAAUUCUCAUUCGUUGUCUCAUAAAUGAUUAGCUGACUUGCUUGUGCCCUCUGAUCAGUCAGAACAAAAUGCACCUGAAAAAAACACUGGGUUCUCCUUAUGCCUGGUCCAUGGAACAUGGCUCCAGAGGGCAGGCUGCCUUCAGGUCAGAUGGAUUCUGAUCCAGGAUUCCAUCAGAGCAUCUCCUGCUCAUCCCACAUCCCAACACCCAGCUCCUUCCACCUGUGUGUAUGGCUGUAUAUAAAAGACUACCAUGUGUGCCUUAACUUCGAGAUGCUUCCUGAUCCCAUGGCCAGAGCCUUCACCCUCUAGCAAUGGUCUCCUCUCCACUUGCAAUAAAUAUUCUUUCCCCAAAAGCUCUUCCUUUACCAGAGCCAGAUUUGUCUUUCAUUUGACAAUGCUAUUCAUAUUGUGUAAAUUCUAUUAACCUAACCUAAAAUCAUUGAUUCUGUGUUUUUUUUUUUAUCUCAGCUCCUGCUGUUGAGUACACCCAGGAAGGUUGAUAUACAUAUAUUUUAUUUGUUUUUAUUUAGUGCAGUUCUAUAACUCCCAUUUGGUUCCUAUUUAUAACUUCCAUUUCUUCACUCAAAGUUUCAGUUUUUUAAUUUAUUUUAGAAUAUUCACCAUUACUUGUUGAAGCAUUUUGAUGAUGACUGUUUUAAAAUCCUUGUCAGAUGAUUCCAACACUGGGUUCACCAUAGCAUCGAUGGCUACUGGUUUUCCUUUUUCCCUUACUCAUUUUCCUGGUUCUGAGUGUGAUGCAUGAUGUUUUGUUGUACUUGCAGGAUAAGACUCUUUUUCAGAAGCCAGUGCCUCUGAUAUUUAGUCUAGAGGGAAGGGGUCCCCCCACCACCAGACCCUGCUGACAGGACCCCAGCAAUAGAGGAGCAGUGACUCACAAGGCCCAUAUACCCCCAAGUGCAGAUGCAAGAUCAGCUCUGCCAUGGACUAUGAUGACACCCAGAAGGGAAGGAACAGUAACAGAGAAACAUUGGCCCUGAUUCACACCACCUCAUCCGCCUAUCUUGCCAAGGAUGGGGACUCAGCCCUUCCCCAGACCCCACUGAUACUGCUUUUAGUGGAGAAAAGGGCUGAGCAACACCCUAACUUCACAGGAUGGAUGGAAGAUCAUAUCCCUCUCUUGCCUUUGGGGAAAUAUCUAGGGUUUGGCAAGUUUUUCCAAGGGUCUUUGCCUGGAGUAGGGUAUUGCCAAAAAGCUAUAAUCCUCAUUUUCUU
rnacentral:lncRNA from 1 species